UACGUAGGGGCAAGCGUUGUCCGGAAUCAUUGGGCGUAAAGCGCGUGUAGGCGGUCCGGUUAGUCGGCUGUGAAAGUCAAGGGCUCAACCCUUGAAUGCCGGUCGAUACUGCCGGACUAGAGUCCGGAAGAGGCAAGUGGAAUUCCCGGUGUAGCGGUGAAAUGACGCAGAUAUCGGGAAGGAACACCAAUGGCGAAGGCAGCUG
rnacentral:rRNA from 1 species